rfam:Triticum aestivum genome assembly, contig: Triticum_aestivum_CS42_TGACv1_scaffold_220691_3B
UGUGUACUCCCUCCGUUCCAAAAUACUUGACUUCCAUUUGUCCAAAAAUGGAUGUACCUAUAUAGUAAUACAUGUCUAGAGACAUAUAUAUUUUGACAAAUAGAAGGCAUGUAUUGUGCAACGGAGGGAGUAGAAU